rnacentral:rRNA from 1 species
UACGAAGGUGGCGAAUGUUGUUCGGAUUUACUGGGCGUAAAGCGUCCGCAGGUGGUUGGUUAAGUCAGGUGUGAAAGCCCCGCGCUCAACGUGGGAAUUGCACUUGAAACUGACUGACUAGAAGACAAGAGAGGGGGGCGGAAUUACCGGUGUAGAAGUGAAAUUCGUAGAUAUCGGUAGGAACACCCAUGGCGAAGGCAGCUCCCUGGCUUGCUCUUGACACUCAUGGACGACAGCGUGGGGAUCAAACAGG